AUGCCGUAGAGAAAGUCUCCAGAGAAUAUAGAGGGCAAAGAUGGUUCUAAAGUAACUAAACAGGAGCUCAGAAGACAAUCUACCAGAUUAUCAGCAAAACCUGCUCCUCCAAAAUCCGAACCUAAACCAAGAAAAACAUCUGCUAAGAAAGAACCUGGAACAAAGCUCAACAGGGAGGCUAAGGGGAAGAAGGAGGAGAAGCAGGAAGCUGGAAAGGAAGGUACUGCACCAUCUGAAAAUGGUGAGACUAAAGCUGAAGAGGCACAGAAAACCGAAUCUGUAGAUAACAAGGGAGAAUGAAUUGUCAUGAAAAAUUGGGGUUGAUUUUAUGUAUCUCUUGGGACAACUUUUAAAAGCUAU